rnacentral:rRNA from 1 species
UACAGAGGGUGCGAGCGUUAAUCGGAAUUACUGGGCGUAAAGCGCGCGUAGGCGGCUUUGCAAGUCGGGUGUGAAAUCCCCAGGCUUAACCUGGGAACUGCAUUCGAGACUGCAUUGCUAGAGUAUGGGAGAGGGAAGUGGAAUUUCCGGUGUAGCGGUGAAAUGCGUAGAUAUCGGAAGGAACAUCAGUGGCGAAAGCACUCUGCUGGGCCGACACUGACACUGAGAGACGAAAGCUAGGGGAGCGAAUGGG